UACGUGGGGUGCGAGCGUUGUCCGGAAUUAUUGGGCGUAAAGGGCUCGUAGGCGGUCUGUCGCGUCGGUAGUGAAAACUCAGGGCUUAACCCUGAGCCUGCUUCCGAUACGGGCAGACUAGAGGUAUGCAGGGGAGAAUGGAAUUCCUGGUGUAGCGGUGAAAUGCGCAGAUAUCAGGAGGAACACCGGUGGCGAAGGCGGUUCUCUGGGCAUUACCUGACGCUGAGGAGCGAAAGUGUGGGGAGCGAACAGG
rnacentral:rRNA from 1 species